UACGUAGGGUGCUAGCGUUAAUCGGAAUUACUGGGCGUAAAGGGUGCGCAGGCGGUCUCGUAAGCUGGGUGUGAAAGCCCCGGGCUUAACCUGGGAAUGGCAUUCAGGACUGCGAGGCUUUGAGUGCGGCAGAGGGAGGUGGAAUUCCACGUGUAGCAGUGAAAUGCGUAGAGAUGUGGAGGAACACCGAUGGCGAAGGCAGCCUCCUGGGCCAGCACUGACGCUCAUGCACGAAAGCGUGGGGAGCAAACAGG
rnacentral:rRNA from 1 species